rnacentral:rRNA from 1 species
UACGGAGGGUGCAAGCGUUAUCCGGAAUCACUGGGUUUAAAGGGUGCGUAGGCGGCCCGAUAAGUCAGUCGUGAAAUCGCUGGGCUUAACCCAUGCAAUUGCGAUUGAUACUGUUGGACUUGAAUGAGGUUGAGGUAGGCGGAAUGUGGCAUGUAGCGGUGAAAUGCAUAGAUAUGCCAUAGAACACCGAUUGCGAAGGCAGCUUGCUGGGCCUUCAUUGACGCUGAGGCACGAAAGCGUGGGGAGCAAACAGG